CAAGGCAGAAAAUCUAGUUUUUCCUUACAUCAAAUUCAACUCAGCUUUUCUCUCCAUCCAACCCCCCAAAUAUUGCAAUCAUCCAUACAUUAAAAUGGCAGAAAAAAAUAAAGAGCAAAUAAGCAAAAUGCAAAAACAGUCAAUUUUCUCUCUUUUAACAUAAUCAAGCUCCUCAAAGAAGUGAGAAGCUCAUUCAUCAACCAAUACAACAAGGUUAACGGAUAUCUUAAAAAUUAGAUUUGAGGUGGAUUCACUACUCCUUGUUAAUCACCUCUUCCACAAAUAAUACACAACAAGAAAAUGAACAAUCAGUACCUAUAGAAAUUUGCAAAGAGAAAGUCCCAAGUGGCUUUUAAUGAAUAAAUCUACGGCUAGUCUCAAGGACAAAGGCCUCUGUACUUUGACAGCUACCAAAUCCCAAUUCUCUUUUAGUAGGCCCUUG
rnacentral:lncRNA from 1 species